GAAAAAGGAAGUGUCGCUCUCUUUUCCGGUUCCUGCUCCAGUGGUGGGAUGUGAUUCACCAGCAAGGAGGGACAUCAAUAAGGCGUCCGAUAAGAUAAGUCUCAUAAAAUAUAUAGAUGUAUGAUAAUUGAGACUGAGCUAACAGAUGAGAAUCCUAGUCAUUGGCCAAGCAGCUUUGUAACUAAUACAAGUCUCUCUGUGUAUUCAUUUGGGCCUAACUCGGGCUGGCGGCUGGCGUAAAGCUCACAUGUGGCGAUGGGGCUCAAGCAGCUUUUGGUGGAAAGAUUUAUCGUAACACCUGGUGCCAGGAAAACCCUCAGGAAUUCAUGAAGAUGACCCCAGCUAAGACUCCUAGCAAAUAGUGGAGAAGGUGCCUGAACUGCCCUUCUCCUGUAAUCAGAUUGAUGACUACCCUAACUGUCAUCAGAGAGCCUUCAUCCAGUAACUGAUGGAAGCAGAUGCAGAGAUCCACAGCCAAGCACUGGGCAGAGCUCCAGGAGUCCUACUGGAAAAGGGGAGGAGGGAUUGUAUGAGCCUGGGGGGCGGUGUCAAGGUCAUGAUGGGGGAGCCCACUGAGACAAAUGACCUGAGCUCAAGGGAUCUCAUGGACUCUGAACCAACAGUUAGGAAGCCUAAAUGGAACUGACCAAGGCCCUCUGCCUAUGUGUGACAGUUGUGUAGCUUUUUCUGUUUGUAAGGCUCCCAGCAGUGAAAUAAGGAUCUGUCUCUGGCACUCAGCUGGAUUUUGGGAGCCUGUUUCCCAUGCUGCAUUACCUCACCCAGCCUUGAUUCAGGGGGAGGAACUCAGGAAUUGAUGCUUGAUUCAAGCUCACGAGAGGCCUGCCCCUUUCUGAAUGGAGACAGAGUAGGAGUGAAUGAAAAAAAAUAUUAAUUAAAUAACAUUAGAAAAAAGAAGAUUCACAUGAGUAGAGUGUACAAUCUCAAGGGCAAGCUGAACAUGAUUGGCAGGCCACACAGGAUGAAAACCUUUACCAUAGAGGCGUAUAAACAGAUCACAAUAGUCAAUUGUAAUGAAUGAUCUGAAGUAGACUCACUCCUAUCUGCUGGGAGGAGCAUGGAAACACAUUCCAAGACCAAUUCCAUGUUUUGAAGAAACUGAGGUCACAAGACUCUUGUUUCCUUGGAGUUUUCUCAGAAGCACUCAGAAUUCUUGCAUGAUUCCAUUCUUGGACCAUGUCCUAACAAGUGAGCGAGGCAGGCCUGUGCCACUUCUGCUUAGAGAAUGAGUUUCCAUUCAAAGCUUCCCUCACAUUGUCUUGUUUUCAUUUACUCUGAGGAAAAUUCCCAUCAAGCCAGAGUUGAGUGAGUGUUGACAGGGUAGCUGAAGUUUCAUCUCCUUUCUUGUUUGGAUACUGUUUUCAUUCUAAUUUUAGGAGGAGAAUGCUGGGGUGUAGGGAAUCGGGUAGGUUUGUGAGUUUCAAUGACUAGUUGUCAUAGCCCAGGCCUGCUGCCUUCAGGCUCCUAACUCUACUAAAGUUUUCUUUCAAAAGAGAAAUGCUGAUUGUUUACAUUUUCAAGGGAAGAAAAAACAGAAUUUUUGUUAUUUAGAGCAAUAAAAGAAGGAACACUUCUGAAAAGUACUAGUGAAAAAAAAAGAAACUAAGCAUAAAUACAUGUUGUAAUCAGGGGUAGGGGGUGUGAUGUGGUCAGUAGUAAUAGUCAAGACAGAUGACUCAGGAAGUCAGUGAAUCACUCAGAAGAAUAUGAGUUACUUAACAUCUUGUAUCAGAACAUCCUUCCUCAAUUUUAUCUGAUUUUCUAGGGAUAGUUCAUUUUUGACUUAAUUUAUAUUAAAAGCAAAUUUAAUAUUUGCCCAGCAAAUGAAUGAGCCAUGGAGAGUGAUGCUAACAGCAAUUAGGUGCUCACAAGUUUCAUCACUGCAAUUAGUGGCUCUGUCGUGCAUGGAGUGGGGUCAAGCUCUCCCACUAGAGGGCGUUGAGGUCGUGUCUCAGUUUGCCUAAGGAGGGUGUGGUCUGAUUUGUGUUCAUUAGGAGACUUUUACAUAAAGAAGUGAUGGUUUUAGAGACAGACCAAUGCAAAAGCUGUAGCUUAUCUAGUAAGUUGUAUUAUCCUUCAACCUACUUAAUAUCAUUUAUGCAAACGUAAGUCAACAGUUUCUCUUAAAAUCCUGUCCUAUAAUUAUAGUCACUGAGUUUUCAGGGAAAAAUAUUUGAAAGUUUGAGAAAGACUUGCCCUAAUGCCACACUUGUAAAGAUGUCUGAUGUUUCCUCUGACUGUAAGUAAGAGUAACUAAAUUAUUUGAUAUGAAUGUAGCUUUUAAAGAGUCUCAUCAAACAGUUGACAAGAACGUGAUUUGAGAAAGCAGGGAGAUGUCUGAGCUUUAUUUGAAUUUUUAUGAACAUAAGUUUUAAAACUAUAAAUUAAAAAGAAAAAAUCAAUUGCAUAUACAAUAAGCAAUACUUACUAAAGUGAAUUUUAAAUGUCUAAAUAUAUAGUCUGCCUAGGUAUGGAGAAAUACAGCAUCAAUGUGUCAUCAGUGGGCAUUCAACAUUCAGUCCCAAAAAAACCUGGAUUGUGAGCAUCAGGACUCAGGGCAGAAGAGAAUUGCAAGUAAAGAGUGAGAUGCCAGAAACCAUCCGGCCACUUUCAUCCAAUCACUUCCCACCACUUGCUCAUCGAGGUGGUGUGUGCUCCCAGACAGCCACCUGCUCAACUUUCCACUGCGUGGAAUCCCAGCUCCUUAAUCAAAACGAAACAAAAGGAAGUAAUAAAUGAUGGUUCAAUCCUGAAUUGGUGGUAGAAUUACAUAACAGAGGUCUACACAUACAUGCACCGAACAUGCAGCCGGCUCAGUUCUCCAUCACAGAUGGAGCCCAUCUUCCUGUGAGCCCAGGUUCUGCUGGAACAAGGGAGGUUUGGACACAUCGGAUGUCUCUCUUCGGGGUGAUGAUACGAUGCACUUUCCUGCGCUCCGAGGUACCACCACGGAGAGAUGGGCAUCCUGGCGCCAGAGUGUCCUCUGAGGCUGGGCUGCCUGGGUCAGAAAGAGACAUCAGAGAUUAUAUAAUCAAGUCCUACGUUGGAUAGAGAAGAAAGCCUGAAGCCCAGAGCAGACUCGAGACUUGCCAAGGUCAUAUGAGUUUUUAAUGAACAUUUCAUUUGUGUAAAUAAAGAGGCAGCGCACAACAAGAACCACUCAUCAAAAGUCUGAUAUUUUCCUUAGAAAUAAAGACAAACAUUGUGCCUCUUAAAUGCGGUGGGAGUUGAAGGAUGGUCAAAGGUUUGUUCUCUAGGCUCUAGCGUUCUGGGGCACCAGAGACCUUUACUGGAACGGGGUAUUUACAGUUCUGGACUUUGGCUUGUUCCUGCUUCAACAUAGACUUCACCAGAUGUGAACCAGGAAACAAUGUACCCUGCGCAUCAUUCACACUGGGACCAUGUUCUCUCCAAGAAACUUUGUUUCCAGGAAGGGACUUCCCAACCCUAUACCUGUUAGCUCAGUGCUCUAGCCCUGAACUAUGUCAGCCACCAAAAAGAAAAUUCUUCCCCAUGGUCCACUGAACCACUCAAGCCUCCUGGAGAGUUGCAAAAUCUAAACAAACAGGUUGUGUUUUCAGUUUGUCUACUUUAAAACCAAACUUCACCCACGUGAAACUGGCAGGCAUGCUUCAAAUGGCGAAGGCUUCUAGGUGCUUUCUGAGCCGCUUCUGACUCACAUCCUAGCCACCUAUUUAUUCUGAGACAGGAGGACUCUUUUUUUUUUUUUCUUCAAUGUAACCAACUGGUUCUUGCCAUUUCCCCAUUGUUUCUCC
ensembl:lncRNA